rnacentral:rRNA from 1 species
UAGAGGAAGUAAAAGUCGUAACAAGGUUUCCGUAGGUGAACCUGCGGAAGGAUCAUUACUGAAGGUUAAACAGGUCUUGAGACUCUUGUGUGCUCGACUUGUAAUAUAUCUAUACACACCUAUGUGCACUAUUUUUUAUUAUAAAAACCUGUUAUAUGCAUGUGUAUUUAACUCUACGGAGUAAAAUAAACAACUUUCAACAACGGAUCUCUUGGCUUUCGCAUCGAUGAAGAACGCAGCGAAUUGCGAAAAGUAAUGUGAAUUGCAGAAUUCAGUGAAUCAUCGAAUCUUUGAACGCAUCUUGCGCUCCUUGGUAUUCCGAGGAGCAUGCCUGUUUGAGAGUCGUGAACUACCUCAAUUUGUUACUUUUGUAAUGAAAUUGGACUUGGGUGUUGCUGUGUACAGCUCACCUUAAAUGGAUUAGUGAUGGGUUCUGAUCAACAUCAAUACAUCAUAAGAUGAUUGUGUUGAAGUGAUCAGACUGUUGCUUUAAACUCUUAUGACAUUUGACCUCAAAUCAGGCAGGACUACCCGCUGAACUUAAGCAUAUCAAUAAGCGGAGGAAAAGAAACUAACAAGGAUUCCCCUAGUAACGGCGAGUGAAGAGGGAAGAGCUCAAAUUUGAAAUCUGGCAGUCUUAUGGCUGUCCGAGUUGUAAUCUAGAGAAGUGUUUUCCGUGCUAGACCGUGUACAAGUCCAUUGGAACAUGGCGUCAUAGAGGGUGAGAAUCCCGUCCAUGACACGGUGACUAGUGCUCUGUGAUACACUCUCAACGAGUCGAGUUGUUUGGGAAUGCAGCUCAAAAUGGGUGGUAAAUUCCAUCUAAAGCUAAAUACAGGCGAAAGACCGAUAGCGAACAAGUACCGUGAGGGAAAGAUGAAAAGCACUUUGGAAAGAGAGUUAAACAGUACGUGAAAUUGUUGAAAGGGAAACGCUUGAAGUCAGUCGCGUCUUCAGAAAUUCAGCUAGUGAUACUAGUGUACUUUUCUGUUAGACGGGCCAGCGUCAGUUUCAGCCACCAGAAAAAGGUGAGAGAAAGGUAGCAUCCCCGGAUGUGUUAUAGUCUCUUAUCUUAUAUGGUGGCAGGGACUGAGGAAUGCAGCACGCCCUUGUUGGCCGGGGUUCGCCCACGUAACGUGCUUAGGAUGCUGGCGUAAUGGCUUUAAACGACCCGUCUUGAAACACGGACCAAGGAGUCUAACAUGCAUGCAAGUAUUUGGGUGGCAAACCCAUAUGCGUAAUGAAAGUGAAUCACAGUUGGGACUUGUGUCAUGCAAGGCACCGACGCCCGGUCCAUGAUCCCUCGUGUGACGGAUCCGAGGUAGAGCAUGUAUGCUGGGACCCGAAAGAUGGUGAACUAUGCCUGAGUAGGGUGAAGCCAGAGGAAACUCUGGUGGAGGCUCGUAGCGAUUCUGACGUGCAAAUCGAUCGUCGAACUUGGGUAUAGGGGCGAAAGACUAAUCGAACCAUCUAGUAGCUGGUUCCUGCCGAAGUUUCCCUCAGGAUAGCAGAGACUCAUGAAUCAGAUUUAUGUGGUAAAGCGAAUGAUUAGGGGCCUUGGGGUUGAAACAACCUUAACCCAUUCUCAAACUUUGAAUAUGUAAGAACGACGCGUCACUUGAUUGGACCCGUCGGUGAUUGAGAGUCUCUAGUGGGCCAUUUUUGGUAAGCAGAACUGGCGAUGCGGGAUGAACCGAUCGUGGGGUUAAGGUGCCGGAAUGCACGCUCAUCAGACACCACAAAAUGUGUGAGUUCAUCUAGACAGCAGGACGGUGGCCAUGGAAGUCGGAAUCCGCUAAGGAGUGUGUAACAACUCACCUGCCGAAUGAACUUGCCAUGAAAAUGGAUGGCGCUCAAGCGUGCUACCCAUACCCCACCGUCAGUGUUAAAGUGAAGCACUGACGAGUAGGCAGGCGUGGAGGUUGGUGAAGCAGCCUAGGCAGUGAUGCUGGGUGAAACAGCCUCUAGUGCAGAUU